rnacentral:rRNA from 1 species
GACGAACGCUGGCGGCGUGCUUAACACAUGCAAGUCGAACGGAAAGGCCCCUUUGGGGGUCCUCGAGUGGCGCACGGGUGAGUAACACGUGAGUAACCUGCCCUUGACUUCGGGAUAACUUCAGGAAACUGGGGCUAAUACCGGAUAGGAAUCCUUGCUGCAUGGUGGGGGUUGGAAAGCUUCGGCGGUUUUGGAUGGACUCGCGGCUUAUCAGCUUGUUGGUGGGGUAGUGGCUUACCAAGGCUUUGACGGGUAGCCGGCCUGAGAGGGCGACCGGCCACAUUGGGACUGAGAUACGGCCCAGACUCCUACGGGAGGCAGCGGUGGGGAAUAUUGCACAAUGGGCGGAAGCCUGAUGCAGCAACGCCGCGUGCGGGAUGACGGCCUUCGGGUUGUAAACCGCUUUCAGCAGGGGCGAAGCUUGUGGUGACGGUACCUGCAGAAGAAGCACCGGCUAACUACGUG